rnacentral:rRNA from 1 species
UGCAGUCGAACGGUAGCAGGAAGUGCUUGCACUUUGCUGACGAGUGGCGGACGGGUGAGUAAUACUUAGGAACAUGCCUUUGUGUGGGGGAUAACCAUUGGACACGAUGGCUAAUACCGCAUAAUGUCUUUGGACCAAAGAGGGCUUUCGGGCUCUCGCGCAAAGAGUGGCCUAAGUGAGAUUAGCUUGUUGGUGAGGUAAAGGCUCACCAAGGCGACGAUCUCUAGCUGUUCUGAGAGGAAGAUCAGCCACACUGGGACUGAGACACGGCCCAGACUCCUACGGGAGGCAGCAGUGGGGAAUAUUGCACAAUGGGGGCAACCCUGAUGCAGCCAUGCCGCGUGUGUGAAGAAGGCCUUCGGGUUGUAAAGCACUUUCAGUUGUGAGGAAAGGUUGAUGGUUAAUACCCAUCAGCUGUGACGUUAGCAACAGAAGAAGCACCGGCUAACUCCGUGCCAGCAGCCGCGGUAAUACGGAGGGUGCGAGCGUUAAUCGGAAUUACUGGGCGUAAAGCGCACGCAGGCGGUUAUAUAAGCUAGAUGUGAAAGCCCCGGGCUCAACCUGGGAAUAGCAUUUAGAACUGUAUGACUAGAGUCUUGGAGAGGGGAGUGGAAUUCCAGGUGUAGCGGUG